rnacentral:rRNA from 1 species
GUCAUAGCCUAACGGCUGAACCAGCAACUUGGAGGAAUGUAUAGCGAAAGCUAGUUGUAUUAACAAAUGGUUAGUGCAGGAUCGACUAUGUCGAAUAAAGUUCUAGGUAGAUUUAUGAUAAUGACAUUUUCUAUCUAUGUGUCUUGACCAAAUCACGUGCCAGCAGUCGCGGUAAUACGUGGGAGACUAGUGUUAUUCAUCUUUAAUAGGUUUAAAGGGUACUUAGACGGUAAAUCAAGCCCAAAAAGGGUACUAAUUUACUAGAGUUUUAUGUGAGGGGGGGAGUACUAAUGGAGUAGAGAUGAAAUUUUGUCAUACCAAGAGGAAACAGGUAAAGGCGAAAGCGACCUUUUAUGUAUAAACUGACGUUGAAGGACGAAGGCUCCGGUCAUGAACAGGAUUAGAUACCCCAGUAGUCUGAGCAGACAAUGAUGAAUGUCAUAGAUUAGAUUUAGUUUUCUCUAUAAAUGAAAGUGUAAGCAUUCCACCUCAAGAGUAAUUUGGCAACAUAGAAACUGAAAUCAUUAGACCGUUUCUGAAACCAGUAGUGAAGUAUGUUGUUUAAUUUGAUGAUCCGCAAAAAACCUUACCACAAUUUGAAUAUUUUUAUUUUAUUAUUUUAAUUAUUUUUAUACAAGCGCUGCACGGCUGUCUUCAGUUAAUGUCGUGAGACUUUGGUUAGUUCCAUUAAAUUAACGUAAACCCUUACUUUUUUUAUUAUAAAGUAGUUCUCCGCUAUAUUGGAUAUGAUAAAAGGGACUAAGACAAGUCAUCAUGGCCU